rnacentral:rRNA from 1 species
CUGGGGCGGUCUCCUCCUAAAGAGUAACGGAGGAGUACGAAGGUGCGCUCAGCGUGGUCGGAAAUCACGCGUAGAGUAUAAAGGCAAAAGCGCGCUUAACUGCGAGACCCACAAGUCGAGCAGGUACGAAAGUAGGUCUUAGUGAUCCGGUGGUUCUGUAUGGAAGGGCCAUCGCUCAACGGAUAAAAGGUACUCUGGGGAUAACAGGCUGAUACCGCCCAAGAGUUCAUAUCGACGGCGGUGUUUGGCACCUCGAUGUCGGCUCAUCUCAUCCUGGGGCUGAAGCAGGUCCCAAGGGUAUGGCUGUUCGCCAUUUAAAGAGGUACGCGAGCUGGGUUUAGAACGUCGUGAGACAGUUCGGUCCCUAUCUACCGUGGGCGCUGGAAAUUUGAGAGGAUCUGCUCCUAGUACGAGAGGACCAGAGUGGACGAACCUCUGGUGUACCGGUUGUGACGCCAGUCGCAUCGCCGGGUAGCUAUGUUCGGAAGGGAUAACCGCUGAAAGCAUCUAAGCGGGAAGCCUACCUCAAGAUAAGAUUUCCCUAGGACUUUAUGUCCUCUAAAGAGCCGUUCGAGACUAGGACGUUGAUAGGUUGGAUGUGGAAGCAUAGUGAUAUGUGAAGCUGACCAAUACUAAUUGCUCGUGAGGCUUGACUAU